CUGACGGAGCACGCCGCGUGAGUGAUGAAGGUUUUCGGAUCGUAAAGCUCUGUUGUUAGGGAAGAACAAGUGCCGUUCAAAUAGGGCGGCACCUUGACGGUACCUAACCAGAAAGCCACGGCUAACUACGUGCCAGCAGCCGCGGUAAUACGUAGGUGGCAAGCGUUGUCCGGAAUUAUUGGGCGUAAAGGGCUCGCAGGCGGUUUCUUAAGUCUGAUGUGAAAGCCCCCGGCUCAACCGGGGAGGGUCAUUGGAAACUGGGGAACUUGAGUGCAGAAGAGGAGAGUGGAAUUCCACGUGUAGCGGUGAAAUGCGUAGAGAUGUGGAGGAACACCAGUGGCGAAGGCGACUCUCUGGUCUGUAACUGACGCUGAGGAGCGAAAGCGUGGGGAGCGAACAGGAUUAGAUACCCUGGUAGUCCACGCCGUAAACGAUGAGUGCUAAGUGUUAGGGGGUUUCCGCCCCUUAGUGCUGCAGCUAACGCAUUAAGCACUCCGCCUGGGGAGUACGGUCGCAAGACUGAAACUCAAAGGAAUUGACGGGGGCCCGCACAAGCGGUGGAGCAUGUGGUUUAAUUCGAAGCAACGCGAAGAACCUUACCAGGUCUUGACAUCCUCUGACAAUCCUAGAGAUAGGACGUCCCCUUCGGGGGCAGAGUGACAGGUGGUGCAUGGUUGUCGUCAGCUCGUGUCGUGAGAUGUUGGGUUAAGUCCCGCAACGAGCGCAACCCUUGAUCUUAGUUGCCAGCAUUCAGUUGGGCACUCUAAGGUGACUGCCGGUGACAAACCGGAGGAAGGUGGGGAUGACGUCAAAUCAUCAUGCCCCUUAUGACCUGGGCUACACACGUGCUACAAUGGACAG
rnacentral:rRNA from 1 species